rnacentral:rRNA from 1 species
AACGGGUGAGUAAUGCAUCGGAACGUGCCAUUGAGUGGGGGAUAACGUAGCGAAAGUUGCGCUAAUACCGCAUAUUCUGUGAGCAGGAAAGCAGGGGACCGCAAGGCCUUGCGCUCUUUGAGCGGCCGAUGUCAGAUUAGCUAGUUGGUGAGGUAAAGGCUUACCAAGGCGACGAUCUGUAGCGGGUCUGAGAGGAUGAUCCGCCACACUGGAACUGAGACACGGUCCAGACUCCUACGGGAGGCAGCAGUGGGGAAUUUUGGACAAUGGGGGCAACCCUGAUCCAGCCAUGCCGCGUGAGUGAAGAAGGCCUUCGGGUUGUAAAGCUCUUUCGGCCGGGAAGAAAUCGCAUGGGCCAAUACCCUGUGUGGAUGACGGUACCGGAAUAAGAAGCACCGGCUAACUACGUG